rnacentral:sRNA from 1 species
ACCUAAGUUUAAAUAAAAAACACGGGGAAACCAGUAAUAUUGGGGUGAAUCGUAUUAUACGUAGGUUAUGCCUUUACCGAACCCGUCAGCUAACCCCGCCGGUAAUAAGGAGAUGA